UGGGGAAUAUUGCACAAUGGGCGCAAGCCUGAUGCAGCCAUGCCGCGUGUAUGAAGAAGGCCUUCGGGUUGUAAAGUACUUUCAGCGAGGAGGAAGGCGGUAAGGUUAAUAACCUUAUCGAUUGACGUUACUCGCAGAAGAAGCACCGGCUAACUCCGUGCCAGCAGCCGCGGUAAUACGGAGGGUGCAAGCGUUAAUCGGAAUUACUGGGCGUAAAGCGCACGCAGGCGGUCUGUCAAGUCGGAUGUGAAAUCCCCGGGCUCAACCUGGGAACUGCAUUCGAAACUGGCAGGCUAGAGUCUUGUAGAGGGGGGUAGAAUUCCAGGUGUAGCGGUGAAAUGCGUAGAGAUCUGGAGGAAUACCGGUGGCGAAGGCGGCCCCCUGGACAAAGACUGCCACUCAGGUGCUAAAGCGUGGGGAGCAUCCA
rnacentral:rRNA from 1 species